rnacentral:misc_RNA from 1 species
GAUGAAGAACGUAGCGAACUGCGAUAAGUAAUGUGAAUUGCAGAAUUCAGUGAAUCAUCGAGUCUUUGAACGCACAUUGCGCCCCCUGGCAUUCCGGGGGGCAUGCCUGUCCGAGCGUCAUUGCUGCCCUUCAAGCCCGGCUUGUGUGUUGGGUCGUCGUCCCCCCCGGGGGACGGGCCCGAAAGGCAGCGGCGGCACCGCGUCCGGUCCUCGAGCGUAUGGGGCUUUGUCACCCGCUCAAUUAGGGCCGGCCGGGCGCCAGCCGGCGUCUCCAACCUUCUAUUUUACCAGGUUGACCUCGGAUCAGGUAGGGAUACCCGCUGAACUUAAGCAUAUCAUAAGCGGAGGA